rnacentral:rRNA from 1 species
AUUGAACGCUGGCGGCAGGCCUAACACAUGCAAGUCGAACGAGUGGCGGACGGGUGAGUAAUGUCUGGGCAACUGCCCGAUGGAGGGGGAUAACUACUGGAAACGGUAGCUAAUACCGCAUACCCUCGGAUGUGCCCAGAUGGGAUUGGCUAGUAGGUGGGGUAAAGGCUCACCUAGGCGACGAUCCCUAGCUGGUCUGAGAGGAUGACCAGCCACACUGGAACUGAGACACGGUCCAUACUCCUACGGGAGGGCGCAGUGGGGAAUAGGGGACAACGGGGGCAAGGCUGAUGCAGCCAUGCAGCGUGUAUGAAGAAGGCCUUCGGGUUGGAAAGUACUGUCAGCGGGGAGGCGUUACCCGCAGAAGAAGCACCGGCUAACUACGUGCCAGCAGCCGCGGUAAUAC